rnacentral:lncRNA from 1 species
UGGCAGAAAACCUGUAUGAACGAUGCUCUGUGACUCGGGCAAGACAGCUUUGAACUCAAGGAUUGUCCCCUGGAAGCAUGACAAAUGAUUUUCCCCACCUGUGAAGAGUUCACUCAAGAUCAAAAAAUGCUGAAGGUCGAAAUCAUCCCGGGACGCUGCUUCUGUAGAAUCCACAUCACUGGACUAUUUCUACCUCCUCACUAAAGAUGUUCAGAAAUGGAGCCAAAUACAAGCAUGAGAGGGAGUUCUAAAGAUGAGAAGCAAAAAUUACAUGGCAGGUAUGUACCUGUACUUCCCACUCAUUAACAGUUAAGGAUUAAAUGCAAGAAUGGGGAUGGCCUUUUAUUUGUCUUUUCUUCUUUUCUUGCUGCAUUAGACACAAAAAUGUACGUGUGGGGCAGGAGAGUGGAACUCACGUUUGAAACAUCUUUGUACAAAGUAAAAUGGGGAAACUCUAUUAACCCUGGCUUAUUUCUGGUGUAAAUCUAUUGUAGUUCUACAUACGUCAUUGGAAUUGUAUGGCUGGAAGGACAGAAUCAAGAUUCACUGUGAAACUUUGUCUAAAAAUAGGUUGGCUGAGGUUUUUUUUUAAAUAGAAAAGGAAGGUGAGGAGUGUUUUUGUUUGAAGAAACGGCAGAGCCUGAGUAAUUUUGCUGAUUAAGUCCAGUUCUUCUGACUUUUCAUACUUUGACCAGCGCUGGGUCAUCAUAGGGAAAAUCGUGCCCUUUCCAGGAGUCUCCCUGAGAUGGGCCAAAGGGAAAUCAUGGAUUCAGGCAGCUGGA